CUCCAGCCGCAGUGUCGAAGGGUAGGGGAAGGUACAGGUCAGCGGUGUUCGUUCAAAUAUGUGGCCGAUUUCCGUUCCAGGGAUUUGACGGCACACACCGUUGACUGCGUUCGACUGAAUUAAAAUGGCCGCCGCCACAUGUUCGAUUGUCUAAUGGCGGCCACUUCGACUACUUCGGCUGUAUCCGAAGUGCCAUAUCAAAGUACCAAUCCUUUGCACAAAACAGUUAAAGAGCCAGACACAGUCUUUGUUCUUAGGUACAGGGCAAUGUGGAUGAUGGCAGGAAAACAAAACGUAGAGGUUCCCAUGCAACAUGGUAGGGGGUUGUUACAGCAAGAACAUGGAAAGGAGAAUAUGAUUUUAUUGUUACUCAAUUAAGCUCACAAUUAUUAUAUCAAAUAAAAAUGGAAAAGAGUUAUUCUAAAUG